AAGAGUCCGGGUCUGCGGUUGCAAGUCCAGGCCAGCUAUGGGCAAAAGGAUCCACGUAAGCCGUCAGCAAAGAUCUGCGGUGAUCAUGGCAUAGCUUAGAUGUAAGUCCUCGGAAAAAUUCCGGCAAAGGCAAGUGUGGGGUCAAAGACCGGGUCAGCCGGCGCGU
rnacentral:ncRNA from 12 species